ensembl:lncRNA
CGGAGGUCCUGGAAGGGCAAUGGAGGUCCUGGAAGGGCAACGGAGGUCCUGGAAGGGCAAUGGAGGUCCUGGAAGGGCAACGGAGGUCCUGGAAGGGCAACGGAGGUCCUUGAAGGGCAGUGGAGGUCCUGGAAGGGCAACGGAGGUCCUGGAAGGGCAGUGGAGGUCCUGGAAGGGCAACGGAGGUCCUGGAAGGGCCGUGGAGGUCCUGGAAGGGCAACGGAGGUCCUGGAAGGGCAGUGGAGGUCCUGGAAGGGCAAUGGAGGUCCUGGAAGGGCAACGGAGGUCCUGGAAGGGCAGUGGAGGUCCUGGAAGGGCAACGGAGGUCCUUGAAGGGCAGUGGAGGUCCUGGAAGGGCAGUGGAGGUCCUGGAAGGGCAGUGGAGGUCCUUGAAGGGCAACGGAGGUCCUGGAAGGGCAGUGGAGGUCACUUGAAGGGCAGUGGAGGUCCUGGAAGGGCAAUGGAGGUCCUGGAAGGGCAGUGGAGGUCCUUGAAGGGCAAUGGAGGUCCUGGAAGGGCAGUGGAGGUCCUUGAAGGGCAGUGGAGGUCCUUGAAGGGCAGUGGAGGUCCUGGAAGGGCAACGGAGGUCCUGGAAGGGCAGUGGAGGUCCUUGAAGGGCAGUGGAGGUCCUGGAAGGGCAGUGGAGGUCCUGGAAGGGCAAUGGAGGUCCUGGAAGGGCAACGGAGGUCCUGGAAGGGCAGUGGAGGUCCUGGAAGGGCAGUGGAGGUCCUUGAAGGGCAACGGAGGUCCUGGAAGGGCAGUGGAGGUCCUUGAAGGGCAGUGGAGGUCCUGGAAGGGCAAUGGAGGUC